rnacentral:rRNA from 1 species
CAGUCGCCGCGGUAAUACAGAGGGUGCGAGCGUUAAUCGGAUUUACUGGGCGUAAAGCGUGCGUAGGCGGCUUCUUAAGUCGGAUGUGAAAUCCCUGAGCUUAACUUAGGAAUUGCAUUCGAUACUGGGAAGCUAGAGUAUGGGAGAGGAUGGUAGAAUUCCAGGUGUAGCGGUGAAAUGCGUAGAGAUCUGGAGGAAUACCGAUGGCGAAGGCAGCCAUCUGGCCUAAUACUGACGCUCAGGUGCGAAAGCGUGGGGAGCAAACAGGAUUAGAUACCCCCGUAGUCCCUGUCUCUUAUAC